UCCAAGUACAGUUAUUGGAAUGGAAGGA
rnacentral:piRNA from 1 species